CAGCCGGACCUGCGGGAGCUGAUGGAGACGAUGAACCGGAUGAGCCACCUGCCCCCCGACUUCGAGGGGAGGCAGAAAGUCAACCAAUGGCUCCAGACGCUCAGCGGGAUGUCGGCCUCGGAUGAGCUGGACGAUUCCCAGGUCCGGCAGAUGUUGUUCGACCUGGAAUCUGCCUACAACGCCUUCAACCGCUUCCUUCACUCCUGAGCCGGCCGGCACGCGCCGGCACGCGCCGGUUCCCUCCCGUUUCGAGCCUCCCGGUCCCCUCCCGCGGUCCUUACCGGCGUUAAGAGGGAGCCGGGGACAAUAAAUCACUGGUCCGUCACCCGCCUCGGGAGCACCGGUGACGCCGGGACCCCAAAAAGCAGCAG